GGAGGGUUGGCAGAGUGGUCGAAUGCGGCGGUCUUGAAAACCGUUGUCGCGCGAGCGACCGGGGGUUCGAAUCCCUCACCCUCCG
rnacentral:tRNA from 1 species